UUGAUUUCUGACUCAGUGACUGUCAAAACAAAACGACCAGUUCGAUUGCGAAAUUAUUUCAAAAUCGAAGACCUCUGACUCAUCAUCUGUCGAUUUUUUGUUUGUAUCAAAUGCAUUUUGCCUAGCGCGUAAUACAAAAAAAAACUCCACAGUGCCAAUGGGAGUUUUUUUCCUCUUAAUUCCGAAAAACGAAUGAGCAAUCAAUGUUAUUUCCAUUAAAAAAACCUUACAAGCGAAUGGCAGAAAAACCAGCCGAACAAACAUUUCUAGAAUUUGGUUCUAUCCGAAACUGAUACUAUUUGGCGGCAGAAUUAGCAUUUUAUAUGGAUGGUUAAACAAUCGAGCUCAACUUUUGUCGCAAUAAAUUGGUGUAAAUUGGUGUAAAAACAUGCAAUUGCCUGAAAUCGAUUUAUUGUUUUGGGGUUCUGGCUCUUGGGACAUUCAACUGAAACCAGUGAACAUGCAAGAUUCAUCGAAAUAGUGAAACAAUUGCCUAAAUCAUCAUUCUCAGUCAAUCAACACCGAAACGACCGAAACUGAAAAUGAUCAGGCAAUUUUGACAUUAUAAACAAUGUAAUUUGUAUACGAAAAAAAAUCGCAGCUGCACUCGGAUCAUAAAACACAGUCAAAAUUCAUUCGUCUGUAAAUUUUACCGCUGAAAAUCGAUAGUUUCAACAAAAUUUCAGUGGAAUAUCUCGCAUUUUCAUAAAAGAAAAACAUUUUCCAUGUAAAUGCAAUUGUUUUGAUAUUUCAUGGCGCGACAAUAAUUUAUGUUCAAGAUGGACGAUACCUCGUUUUUCAAAGCAAAUUAAAAAUGGCCGACGCAAAAAAAACUUACAGAUUCUUCUUCUUUUUCCAUGCCGCUGGGCAUCUGUGGAACAGCACGAUUUAUUGCCGAAUGUUCUGGCAAAUCUGGUAGUUCUUCAGUUAAAUAAAUGGGCAUUGGUUUGGUGGGAUCCAGGGCCCGAGCCCUAAAUGAUAGCUUCGACAUUUUUUUUUCUGGUUUGACAGAAGGCCGCGACCUGGACAAAACACAAUCGGG